GCACCAGGCGGCUUGCAGCUUCGCUAUAAACUCAUCAGCCAGGGACUUGCCUCGUUGAGAUCCCAACCAAGGCAAACCUCCUACCUAUAUCAAUCAAUCAGCUAGAACCUGAAUCAUCAUACGUGCUGUAGAAGCGAGCGAGGAAGAAUGGAGAACAAGAGCAACAGCCAGGCGCCUCCACCACCAGGUCAGGUUUCUGAAUCUCAACUAUGCCAACGCCAGCAGCACAAAACAACGCUUCAGUAGUUUCUUGGUGCCUCUGCCUGGAUUCUGAACCCGUUCAUGGCUUACAUGGACGGCAAGGCUACCCGACGGCGGUGGGUGCGGAGCAGCAGUGUGACGGAACCGCCAAAUUAAGACUCUAAUUAAGCGUAAUGGCCGUUAUUUGAACACAUCGGGCUCAUUAGCUUAACGACUUAAUUUGGCGAUACUUUCUCAACCCAUGUCCCGAUCGAAACAUCAUUGAUAGUUCUACGCGAAGGUGGGCGCAGAUGGUACAAACACGACACAUAUUUGAAAAUACAACAAAUAUACAUAAGACUUCACCUUAAGUUUUACAAACCAAGUUUGAAUAAAUACAUAAUUUAUAAACUUUGCAUUACUGAAACCCUGGUUCAACUAGAGGAAAGGGGCCUACAACUAUCAAAAGUGUGCCCUAGGGAGAUUCCUAUCUAGACAUCUGGCUCCACAACCUCCCAUCCCUCUGCAUCACGGCGGAUGAACUUGGCGCAGCAGGGACAGAAGUCUACGUCUGCGUGUCCUGAAAUAAUUGUAGCAACAAACCCUGAGUAUACUAAUACUCAGCAAGGUUUACCCGACCAGUGGGUAUAACUUAGCCCACAUAUCUAGACAUGAAAGGCUUUUGCCUGGUGGUUAUUUUGCAGAAAACAGCGACAAAGUAAUUCCUCACUUUCCUUAUUUUAGCCCAAGUUCUAUAUAAAUUAACAUAGUCUAAUAUUUGCAUAACCAAAACUAGAGCAAACAUAGUGGAACAAUAAGUAAUCAUUCAUAUGUUCAUCAACAUAGGUAUAACCAUUUUCCAUCACAAUACUACGCUGCGACACAGUGACCAAGGUGCUCGUAUCCGAGAGUGACUGACGGCGAAUCGAUUCGAUUUAACCUUGUAAGGUGGACCUAAACAACACGGCACGCAUUAGCCCCGUCGGACUAUACGAGCCAACCAUUCCCCUCCCCGCCUCGAACUACAGAACCGCCCCACCUGCAUAUAGUCAGCCGAGCCCUACGAGAGACCACCAAAAAUAAAGUCAUGCAUCUCAAAUUCUCCGCGGCCACUCGACUCGCCCUAAGGGGUGGGUAGAAGUUCUAUACUUCCGAAGCAAGGCAGUACUCGGCUUACCGGUUUCAACUACCUCCUACUCCCGGCAUGCGGUUAGUACAGUUCAAACAUGAUCAGCAGGGCCAACAACGGCUCGGUCCUUAACCGACACAGGCGGAACUACACCUCUCCCGUCCGGUCUCAGAUUCUAUUCUUUCUUUCAUUUCAAGACUUUCAUCCAUAAAUUAGUAACUCAUAUCUGGAAACAUAAAGCUAUCCUAUAUCUCGCGAGUAACAAAAAAUUACUCGACUUCUACCGAACCCUAUCUAGCAUAGCAUUUCUAUCGUCCUAUACAUACUAGUACAACUCAAGGACACCUAGGGUUCAUGCAACUAGGGUUUCAAACAACUCCUAAACGUAAUGCAUAAGUAAUGAAUACAUAUAUAGGUGUCAUAAUCUAAAAUGAAUAGGAUGUACACCGGGGCUUGCCUUCGGGCUGCUGCACAGAGCUAGGGCCAGACGGGCCUUGGGCCGGGUGCUCACACCUCUCCUCCUGGGCUUGCGUCGGCUGCUCUUGCGGUGCCGCAAUCACCUCAAAUACGGCGCCCUCAGCUGCGGAUGCUACACGUAUGCAUAUGAAAUAAAUGAGUGCAGGUCAAUGAUGUAAUUAAUUUACUUCAACUGGAACGCCCUGCGGACUGUUCGCGCCCAAGUGGCGGACCGUCCGCCGUACUAUUCUACCGACCCACCAGAGACAACAACGUCUCUGGAACAAUUUCUAAUUCUACCUGCGGACUGUCCGUCCAUCCUUGGCGGACCGUCCGCAGUUCACGUAUUCUAUCCACCAGAGACGGCAACGUCUCUGGACAAAAUCCUAGACUCUACUGCGGACUGUCCGCGCCCAAGUGACGGACCGUCCGCAGUUCAAUCCUGCGAACCCCCACCAGAGACAUCGUCUCUGGACAAACUUCAAAUUUCAACGGCGGACCGUCCGCUCCCCUAUAGCGGACUGUCCGCAAUCAAUUCUGCCAAACUACCAGAGGCAACAUCGUCUAUGGACGAAACCUAAUCUGACCGGCGGACUGUCCGCACCUCCUAGGCGGACCCUCAGCGAUGCAUAACUUUUGACCUACGCCACAGGCGGCAGCAAGUGCGGCGGCGACGGCGGCGGCCAUUUACCGGCGCCGGCGACACACCACGGAAGAGGAAAAAGACCGGAAAGCACAAGGAACUCACCACGAAUCCAUUCCCGCGGUCGGUUCGAGCGGAGGACAACCAAAGGGGCGGAUCGACGGUGGAGCAAGCUUCAAGCACCUCCAAUGGUGUCCGGCGGUGGCGGGGGCGAUUCCGGCCGUAAGAAGCCGGUCUAGGGGUUUGGGAAGGUGGAGGAGGUGCCGAGGAAGGUUCCCGCACGAGGAAUCGAGGUUUGGUGGCCGGAGGAGGGAGAUCGAUGGAAAGGGGCGACGACGGCGCGAGCGCUCGAGCUCCGCUCAGCUCUGGACGAAGUGAAAAGGAAGAGAGAAAUGACAAGUGGGUCCCACAUCCAUCCAGAUAAAUAUCUGGGCGAUGCCUGGCGGACUGUCCGUCGGUCCCACGUGAAAGCUGGACUCUGAAAUUAAAACCACGUGUUUAUAUCAGAAAUUUUUAUUGAAAUUGACUAAAAUUUGUUGAAGAUGACUUAGUACGACUGUCAGCUAUUUUAUGCAAAGCAGUGUGGCUAAAAUUACCUGUGGGCCCCACAUGAAGAGCCGGACCCUGAAAUUAAAACCUCGCAUUCACACUAUAAAAUUUUAUCGAAAUUGAAUGAAAUUUUUGAAGAUGAGUCAAUAUGGCUGGCAGAUACUCUGUGCAAAUUAGUGUGGCUAAACAUAUAUAUGGCCCCCAUAUCAAGUGUAGAACCACUAAAUUCCUCUACAUAGUAGAAUUUAUGGGUUUUUAUGAGUUACCCGUUUGUAAUGGGGCGAGUUAGUUAGAGUUGAGAAAUUAAUUAAUUGGGUUAGGUGGGGUUAGAUAACUAAAUAUAUUAAUUUUGGAUGGAGUUGAGUAUGUUGCGGGUCCAACCCAUUAGCUGGGGUUCCACGCGAACAAGGUUGCGGAGCCGGUACGUCCACCGCUGCGCAUAGGUACCACAUAUCCGCGUGAGCCAGCAGGCAUCGUGAACGUGAACCGGCGACAUGCAAGGCGUACGGGGAGGGGUGGCGUGGUUCGUCCACUAUUUUUUUUCUUUCUAUUUUUACUUAUUGAGAAUAUAUAUUAAUUAGUUGUAUUUGAUAGGACUCUUUGUUAACUAUUAAUUCUCUUAUUUUUGUAAUUCUGAAUACUACUGCUUACUAAUCGCACUCGGUUUCGACUCUUCAGUCAUAUUCUAUUUUAUUCUCAUUUUUAACUCUAAAAUUAUCUGUUUAUUAAUCUUAUCUGAUAUGAACUCUCGAGUUCUUUUAGAACGUUAGAUCAUCAUAAAAAUCGACGGUGUAAAUUCUUCUUUUUUAAUUUAUCGUGAGAAAUUUUAGACUCUCGAUGAGUAUGGUUGCUAUUUUUAGCACUAUUGCAUUAAGAUAAAAAAAAAUUCCAGCUAUGUGGUUGCAUGUUUAAUUACCCUGAUUGUUAUUGGCGUAAGGAGAUUACUACUAAUAACUGAUGAGACGUGCUGUGCGGUACGUGUACAUCCUUGUAUUGUUCUGUUGCUUGUGUAUUUUCUGAAGGUGCCGUGCCCGUAAGUCAUCUAUAGUCGUCAACCUUCCAGUUCACCUUCUUCCGUUAUCGUGCCCGUGCACGAGAUUUCGUGAACCUUUCUACUUGAAAGCCUCAUGGGCUGUUUGUUUCUCAUAAAUUGGGCUAUAUGGAAUUGGGCCGCAGCACACGCCGUGGGCUAGGACGGACCACCUUUCCUAGUACACACUCGCUUUCGGACAGGCCGUUGUCGGAGAAGAAGCUGUCUUCAUUUUCUUUUAAGAAAAUGUUUAAAUUUUGACGAAUGUUGAAUCUAUUAUGUUAAGAUGUGGACAUAGUUUGUAAAAAAUGUUGAAUGUAGUAUUUUUUUAAAAAUUUUUUUGCUCUGUGUUCUAGAAAAUAUUGAAUCCAUUCUUUUUCAAUGUUGAACUGUUUUUUCAAAAAAUAUUGAAUCUAACUAGAUUUCUAGUUGGAUCUAAUGGAAUUUAUAGAUACAUAACUUAUCCAUCUUCGAGAGGCACGCUGCAAGACGAUCGACAUGACGCGACAAUGGUUAUGUGGAGCACCGUCGACGCGGACUAACCAACGACAACAAGAAAGAAGGGGGAGGGCGCCGCGGACGGAUGACGCGGCCUCCCGAUAUCUAUCCUCCUAAUAAAAGGCUAUAUAAAAUGGGCCGGAGAUCACCGAGCAGUAGCCCACGUAUCGUUUCCCGCUGUCGCUGGCUCCGAAAUCUCUGCUCCUUCAACAUGGAUGGCAGGCAAAGUUUUCUCUCGCCUCUCUAUGAAAGAUGAAGAAAAAAAAAUGUGUGCUUUUAGCAGGUCCGUUGGGUCUGCAUCAACAUCUAGUGCAAGAGAAAGCUUUGCUUGAGAAACUUUUCCCACAACAGGGAGUACUUCAAAAACCAACACUGGCAGUGGUAGUUGAAAACUUUAGCUGUGAAAUAGCCUCCGGAUUUUUUAUAUACAGUGAAUCUUUCGCUAGAUUUACCUUUUGGGACUUGUGCUUUUUUUUGUUUAUAUCAUGUCGCACUACCUAUGAUUCCAUAGAAACUUUAUUCUUUCUCCACCUUCUUAUACUCUUAUAAAUAAUAAUUAGCACGGUACUUAUAUUAUUGAUGGUCAGUUAUAGUUUGUUCUAUUUCUGAUCAGACUCUAAUAAGUUUUUUUUUUGAGAAGGAUUCUAAUAAGUUUUGCGAUUGUGCCGAAUUUUAAUCAAAAUAUGUCAAAUUCUCAAGUCCAAUGACGCAUGCCCAGAUCGAUCACAAAUGCAGCGGUUAGUCAAAACUUUUGAUCUGGUUUAAUUAACAGCUGGGAAGGAUCAAGUGCAGCUAGACCCAAAUCCUGUCGCAAUUAGACGUGCACAUCGUCGUCGAUCUGACAAAACCGAACCCAACGCAUGCUCCGAUCGCAGCCGCUCACGCUUAACUUGGAUGUACUGCAUCUCUCCACGACAGAGCAACCUGCAAUUAAAGAACAGCGGAAUGCGGCCACUGCCGGAGAGCGUAGUUGCCUCGACAGAGGAAUGGAGCAUCUGCCUCGUCGUGAGCUCGAGGCGGGCGGCGCCGGCGGCGGCACGCCAUCGCCCAGCCAGCCGCCGCGUUCACCGCAGCCAGGUCCAGAUGCAUGCAGCUCCUAAGCAUAUGCCCGUGGCUGUCUGCGUUGCUCGUCAGAAUUCUGAUCGAUGUCUGAAGAAUGAUACCUAAUUAAGUGGAAAAAUUAUUCGCAAUCCUUCAUGAACUCACGAAGUUCUAGUAAAAAAAUGCGCCAUUGCUGCAACGCAGUCAGACACCCAGCAUAAGUUCGCUUCACACUCUGCCUGGUUUGCUUAAUCCGAUGCAGUGAUCGAUGACGAACAGCAACCGUUUUGCAGUCGCAAUUGUACAGCUAGCGACGUACCGGACGUUGAAAGCCGAAACAGCGGCGUGCCCGGAACAAAGUAGACUCCGGUGUCUGGGUGGAUGCACAGGAGGAAUUCCUGCUGCUGGCUGGGAAUCGUAGGAAAACUUCAAGCGGAGAGGAAAACUGAACAACCCAAGAAUCCAAUCAGACGAGGAUGUGGUGUGAACAGGCAAAGGUUGCCGCUUUGCAUCUGAUCUUUCAAUUUGCUCUCCGUUCUGGAGGGAACCAGAUUCCCCGUGAUCUGAACAUCUCAGACACGUCAAACUUUGAUAAAAAGGGAAGCUUUCCGACGUGCCACUUGGAGCUUUGCUUCCUCCAAUCCUCCGUGCUCCGGCCGCCGACCAAACGCACCGCCGGUGGCGGCCCUUUCUGCGCCCGCUCGUGUCCCUCUGCUCUGUUCAACAACCUUUGAUUCGAUGCCGCGCAAAUGUGCAGCCUUGUACUCUUUUCUUUCUGAUUAAGAACACUAACGAGCGAUGAAAACAGUUGCAGGCACACUUUAUUAUUAGUUUCGUCAAUUCGUCAGAGCUGUAUGGGCCAUGUUCAUCAAACAAACAGAUAACUGGCGAUUUGUCAAUCUGUGACCGCGCGCUAGAAAGGCCUCGACACCUUUUGCCACCCUCUACUUUCCAUGUGUUGAGGAUCCAUCACAGGCCAUCUUAUCUGUAAGAAGACCAAACCGGCAAGGAAGGCACCAGCAACACACUGCCCUGCACCUGUCCUGCAGCUUCGCUAUAUAAACCCCGUGGCUUGUCUCGUUGAGAUCCCAACCAGAGCAAGGCAAACCACCUACCUACAUCUCAAUCAGUUAGAAUCUGCAUCAUCGUCGUGCUCUAGAAAGCGAGCGAGGAAGAAUGGAGAACAAGAGCAACAGCCAGGCGCCUCCACCACCAGGCUACCCGACGGCGGCGGGUGCGGAGCAGCAGGGAGGGAAGAAGGGGCGCCGGGGGAAGACGACCUCGCGCGGAGAGAAGGGCUUCAUUGAAGGAUGCAUCGCGGCGUUGUGCUGCUGCUGGAUCUGCGAGAUGUGCUGCGACUAGCCAUUUCACUCACCUCACCUCCAUGUGUUGUCAACCAUACGCAUACGGAGCUUGCAUCUUUCAUCUUUCACAAGGGGAGGCGUCGUGUUGUGUUUGUUGGUCUACAAAUAUAAUUCCAGCUGUGUGGUUUCAUGUUUAGUUACCCUACCCUGGUUUGUUAUUUUAGCGGAGGGAGAUUAUACUACUAAUAACUGAUGAGACGUGUUGUGCUGUACGUGUACAUCCUUAUAUUCUGAAGCGUGAGUGAGUCAUUUGUUUGCAGUUGUAAAUCUUCCUCCAGUCCCUACUUGAAAACCAUCUUUCGUUCGUGCGCGUGAUUU